rnacentral:rRNA from 1 species
UACAGAGGUCCCAAGCGUUGUUCGGAUUCACUGGGCGUAAAGGGUGCGUAGGUGGCGAAGUAAGUCGGAUGUGAAAUCUCCGAGCUCAACUCGGAAAUGGCAUUGGAAACUACUUUGCUCGAGGGUCGGAGGGGGGACUGGAAUUCUCGGUGUAGCAGUGAAAUGCGCAGAUAUCAGGAGGAACACCAGCGGCGAAGGCGGCGCUCUGGGCCGGUACUGACACUGAGGAGCGAAAGCGUGGGUAGCAAACAGG